GAACAACAAGGGUUAUAGGACAAGGCAAGAUAUUGUUUGCUCAUGUGAGGUUUGUAUUUCUUAAUUUAAAGGUAAUUAGGUGGUUUGUCCGGUGCUGAACGGUAGGUUGAAGCUGCAAAUCAGUAAUCUAUUGGCAAUAUUUAACAGGGCUCAUCACGGAUCAGCAAUUGUGCUUCUGUAAGGACUGGGUGUAAAGUGAUGAUAAGGUUGCUUAGAACUAGUGUGAUCAUGGAUGGUAUAUUAGCCGAGUGAACACAAGCCACAACCACAAAUUAUCCGAGGGGUAUGCAGAGAAGAAACAAUGGAAUUCUCACAGAAUGAUAGAUGCAACCACCAAGUAUUAUCAAGAAACAAAGAGACAACAAUGUGCUGUUACAUUUGGACAGGCAAGAAAUACCAAAGUUUAAUAUAAUGCAAAGAUGGACAAAGGAGGCAAUUGUAUAUAAUAUAAAUCACAGGCACAUGACAGUGAUAUAGGAUCAGAUGCAGAUCAAAUGAGAAAGAAGGCUUUGCUGAUGAUGCAGACACUUCAGUUAGUCCAUGGACCUACUGCUGUUGACGAGCAGAUGUUCAGGAAUGCUAUGGAAGCUUUAAGGGCUCUUCCUGCAGUGCAGUGCACCGAUGGAGUAAUUGUUCAAUCUGGCAUGAGUAGCAUGGACAUUGAGCAUGAGCAGCUCCCUGUUUCUUGUCCUGAAAGGACAAUGAAAGGUGGCCGGCCACUUAGUACUGGACUUAAGGCGUGGCUAUCAAGGAACGAUAAGAAAAGGAUCUCAGAAUGUUCAUCAAGGGAUUCAUUAGCUGAAGACUGGCCUGAGGAAGAGAGGCCUGAUAGGAAGAAGACCCGGCGCAUAAUUGAUAUUUGAUAGGCGAAGAAUGUAGUAUAGUUUAUUUUGAAAUUUGGACGACUCAUUUAUGAUAGUGCAUGCUUGCCUAUAAGUGUGUAUCAGACUUUUCUGUAAUUGGAGUUGAUAUAAUAUAUAUUUUUAA